rnacentral:rRNA from 1 species
GACGAACCGUGCGAACGUUAUUCGGAAUCACUGGGCUUAAAGCGCGUGUAGGCGGCCCGGUAAGUCCGCUGUGAAAGUCCAGGGCUCAACCCUGGGAUGCCGGUCGAUACUGCCGGACUAGAGUUCGGAAGAGGCGAGUGGAAUUCCCGGUGUAGCGGUGAAAUGCGCAGAUAUCGGGAGGAACACCUAUGGCGAAGGCAGCUCGCUGGGACGUUACUGACGCUGAGACGCGAAAGCGUGGGGAGCAAACAGG